rnacentral:lncRNA from 1 species
CAUCAGUUGGUUAUUUCAGACUUGCAGAUGGGAAACCAUCCAGGAGGACCAAACUUUUCCAGGCAUGUUCCGCAGGGAUGUGGCUUAGGUACCCCACGGCAUCCUGCUAUGGCCUCAGAACACAGCCCAGCCGGUGAUCUCCCAUCAAAAAAAAAAAUGUGCCCCCCAUUCGCUUUCACUGCUGCCCUAUUUUGCUUCUUUUCACACCAGAACUCUAUUUUACCCAAAUAAAAAUAGUCUGUCUUUUUAGAUUCUAAAAAUGGAACGCUUUCAGGGGGUCAUACUCAAGUAAUGUAGGGAAAGUACAAAGAAGUAAAAAAAAUCUUUCAAUCCUCGGAAGUCACAGGUGGCCAGUGUCCAUUGCGAGUGCACACACACACACACACAUGGCCAAGUGCAACUUGCAUUCCCCAGCCCUUUUUAUUUUUUAUUUUGAGAUGGGGUCUCACUAAGUUGUUAAAUUGCCCAGGCUUGGCUCUAACUUGCCAUCUUUCUGCCUUAUCCUCCCAAGUACCUCCUGAUUUGCCAUUCUCUGGCCACCCUCUCUCUCUCUCUCUCUCUCUCUCUCUCUCUCUUUCUCUUUCUCUUUCUGAGAAUUGAACAGAGUCUUUGCCUUGAGCUACAUCUCAGCUGGAACUUCAGAUGUCCCUGCCUCAACUUUCCAGAGGGCUGGGAUUACACAGGUGUGUUACUUGGUCUCCUCCCUC